CUGCCACCGUAAGGUGAGAGGAAGUGGGGAUGACGUCAAAUCAGCACGGCCCUUAUGUCCAGGGCUACACACGUGUUACAAUGGCCGGCACAGAGGGCAGCUACCUGGUGACAGGAUGCUAAUCUCGAAAACCGGUCUCAGUUCGGAUCGAAGUCUGCAACUCGACUUCGUGAAGCUGGAUUCGCUAGUAAUCGCGCAUCAGCCAUGGCGCGGUGAAUACGUUCCCGGGCCUU
rnacentral:rRNA from 1 species